rnacentral:rRNA from 1 species
UGGGGAAUUUUGCACAAUGGGGGGAACCUUGAUGCAGCGACGCCGCGUGAGGGAUGGAGGCCUUCGGGUUGUGAACCUCUUUCGCUCGUGUGCAAGCCGCUAUUUGGGUAGUGGUGAGUGUAGCGGGUAAAGAAGCGCCGGCUAACUACGUGCCAGCAGCCGCGGUAAUACGUAGGGCGCGAGCGUUGUCCGGAUUUAUUGGGCGUAAAGGGCUUGUAGGCGGUUUGUCGCGCCUGUCGUGUAAUCCUCUGGCUUAACUGGGGGUGUGCGGUGGGUACGGGCAGGCUUGAGUGCGGUAGUGGAGAUUGGAAUUCCUGGUGUAGCGGUGGAAUGCGCAGAUAUCAGGAGGAACACCGGUGGCGAAGGCGGGUCUCUGGGCCGUUACUGACGCUGAGGAGCGAAAGCGUGGGGAGCGAACAGG